GGCACUUGUACACGUUGCGGUGCAACUAUGGUAAAAGA
rfam:[Clostridium] litorale DSM 5388 strain W6 CLIT_10c, whole genome shotgun sequence.